CUGAACCUUCGGGGAACGAUAACGGCGUCGAGCGGCGGACGGGUGAGUAAUGCCUAGGAAAUUGCCCUGAUGUGGGGGAUAACCAUUGGAAACGAUGGCUAAUACCGCAUGAUGCCUACGGGCCAAAGAGGGGGACCUUCGGGCCUCUCGCGUCAGGAUAUGCCUAGGUGGGAUUAGCUAGUUGGUGAGGUAAGGGCUCACCAAGGCGACGAUCCCUAGCUGGUCUGAGAGGAUGAUCAGCCACACUGGAACUGAGACACGGUCCAGACUCCUACGGGAGGCAGCAGUGGGGAAUAUUGCACAAUGGGCGCAAGCCUGAUGCAGCCAUGCCGCGUGUGUGAAGAAGGCCUUCGGGUUGUAAAGCACUUUCAGUCGUGAGGAAGGUGGUGUAGUUAAUAGCUGCAUUAUUUGACGUUAGCGACAGAAGAAGCACCGGCUAACUCCGUGCCAGCAGCCGCGGUAAUACGGAGGGUGCGAGCGUUAAUCGGAAUUACUGGGCGUAAAGCGCAUGCAGGUGGUUUGUUAAGUCAGAUGUGAAAGCCCGGGGCUCAACCUCGGAAUAGCAUUUGAAACUGGCAGACUAGAGUACUGUAGAGGGGGGUAGAAUUUCAGGUGUAGCGGUGAAAUGCGUAGAGAUCUGAAGGAAUACCGGUGGCGAAGGCGGCCCCCUGGACAGAUACUGACACUCAGAUGCGAAAGCGUGGGGAGCAAACAGGAUUAGAUACCCUGGUAGUCCACGCCGUAAACGAUGUCUACUUGGAGGUUGUGGCCUUGAGCCGUGGCUUUCGGAGCUAACGCGUUAAGUAGACCGCCUGGGGAGUACGGUCGCAAGAUUAAAACUCAAAUGAAUUGACGGGGGCCCGCACAAGCGGUGGAGCAUGUGGUUUAAUUCGAUGCAACGCGAAGAACCUUACCUACUCUUGACAUCCAGAGAACUUUCCAGAGAUGGAUUGGUGCCUUCGGGAACUCUGAGACAGGUGCUGCAUGGCUGUCGUCAGCUCGUGUUGUGAAAUGUUGGGUUAAGUCCCGCAACGAGCGCAACCCUUAUCCUUGUUUGCCAGCGAGUAAUGUCGGGAACUCCAGGGAGACUGCCGGUGAUAAACCGGAGGAAGGUGGGGACGACGUCAAGUCAUCAUGGCCCUUACGAGUAGGGCUACACACGUGCUACAAUGGCGCAUACAGAGGGCGGCCAACUUGCGAAAGUGAGCGAAUCCCAAAAAGUGCGUCGUAGUCCGGAUUGGAGUCUGCAACUCGACUCCAUGAAGUCGGAAUCGCUAGUAAUCGUGGAUCAGAAUGCCACGGUGAAUACGUUCCCGGGCCUUGUACACACCGCCCGUCACACCAUGGGAGUGGGCUGCAAAAGAAGUAGGUAG
rnacentral:rRNA from 1 species